rnacentral:rRNA from 1 species
UACGAAGGGGGCUAGCGUUUUUCGGAAUCACUGGGCGUAAAGCGCACGUAGGCGGAUCGUUAAGUCGGGGGUGAAAUCCCAGAGCUCAACUCUGGAACUGCCUUCGAUACUGGCGAUCUUCGAGUCCGGGAGAGGUGAGUGGAACUCCGAGUGUAGAGGUGAAAUUCGUAGAUAUUCGGAAGAACACCAGUGGCGAAGGCGGCUCACUGGCCCGGUACUGACGCUGAGGUGCGAAAGCGUGGGGAGCAAACAGG